GCAACGGUGAAAGUCGUUCUGUGGAGCUGCAUAUAUCAUCGAACUCCAUCCUUCUUGCAAUUAUUUGUAGAAGCAUUGUCUAUAUUUCAUUUGAUCUAUUACCAAGUUUGAACAGGAAAGAAGGAACCCGAGCUGCAAAUCUACCUCCCGACCAGGAAGAACGCUAAGACGGGGACUAUGGGCACUGAUGCUAGGAUGCCAGCACAAACCCUGGAGUGCCUGCACUGCUACAUCCACUUGGACUUUCCCAGGAGCACCUGCACUUCUCCAUCACCUACUCAUGUGUGCACAGGUGGAGUAACUGUUGGAUUUAUUGUUGGAUUAUUAUUGUGUGGGACUGCAAGCUACUACCUCUCUUCCCCCCAAUACCAUUGUUGGUAGCAGGGGUAACUUGAAUUAAAUAAAAGACAGCAUUCUUGUAAAUAAACUUACUAUGCUUCACCACAACACUCACACCCUGACAUGAAGUAAAUGACAAGUUUAAGGGCCCAAUUUUUUAAAAUAUACAGGAUUACUGAAUCAAACAGCUGUGAUUUCUAUAUUUUCAAAGAUUGUGUCUAACUAGCACUUUAUACAUUCACAUUACAAAUGUACUGUACCCCUUCUGGGCCUUUUCGUUUAGAUUAAAUUUAGUGACCUAUCAUGUUUACUAAAACAGUCUACUAUUUCACCUUGCCCAUGAUAAAAAUAAAGACAUGUUAUGACACCUUUUCAAAUAAACUUGAUUGUACAUGAGCAACCAAAUAAUGUCUGACUGGGACUUAAAACCUAUUAAAGCUGACGUCAGUGCGUCAGCCUAGAUUAACCAAACAAAGUCAAUGUCACUAUCAUAGUCAAUCUGUAUUAUGAGACAUCCUAUUAAGAUCUUUAAUAUUU